UCCUACGGCAGCAGUGGGGAAUAUUGCACAAUGGGGGAAACCCUGAUGCAGCGACGCCGCGUGAGUGAAGAAGUAUUUCGGUAUGUAAAGCUCUAUCAGCCGGGAAGAAAAUGACGGUACCUGACUAAGAAGCCCCGGCUAACUACGUGCCAGCAGCCGCGGUAAUACGUAGGGGGCAAGCGUUAUCCGGAUUUACUGGGUGUAAAGGGAGCGUAGACGGCAGCGCAAGUCCGAAGUGAAAUCCCAUGGCUUAACCAUGGAACUGCUUUGGAAACUGUGCAGCUGGAGUGCAGGAGAGGUAAGCG
rnacentral:rRNA from 1 species